rnacentral:rRNA from 1 species
UACGUAGGGUGCAAGCGUUGUUCGGAAUCAUUGGGCGUAAAGCGCGUGCAGGUGGUUAGGUAAGUCGGGUGUGAAAUCCCUGGGCUCAACCGAGGAAGUGCACUCGAAACUACCUAGCUAGAGGACAGUAGAGGAAGGUGGAAUUCCUAGUGUAGAGGUGAAAUUCGUAGAUAUUAGGAGGAAUACCGGAGGCGAAGGCGACCUUCUGGGCUGUUCCUGACACUGAGACGCGAAAGCGUGGGU